rnacentral:rRNA from 1 species
GACGAACGCUUGCGGCGUGCUUAACACAUGCAAGUCGAACGGAAAGGCCCUGCUUUUGUGGGGUGCUCGAGUGGCGAACGGGUGAGUAACACGUGAGUAACCUGCCCUUGACUUUGGGAUAACUUCAGGAAACUGGGGCUAAUACCGGAUAGGAGCUCCUGCUGCAUGGUGGGGGUUGGAAAGUUUCGGCGGUUGGGGAUGGACUCGCGGCUUAUCAGCUUGUUGGUGGGGUAGUGGCUUACCAAGGCUUUGACGGGUAGCCGGCCUGAGAGGGUGACCGGCCACAUUGGGACUGAGAUACGGCCCAGACUCCUACGGGAGGCAGCAGUGGGGAAUAUUGCACAAUGGGCGGAAGCCUGAUGCAGCAACGCCGCGUGCGGGAUGACGGCCUUCGGGUUGUAAACCGCUUUCGCCUGUGACGAAGCGUGAGUGACGGUAAUGGGUAAAGAAGCACCGGCUAACUACGUGCCAGCAGCCGCGGUGAUACGUAGGGUGCGAGCGUUGUCCGGAUUUAUUGGGCGUAAAGGGCUCGUAGGUGGUUGAUCGCGUCGGAAGUGUAAUCUUGGGGCUUAACCCUGAGCGUGCUUUCGAUACGGGUUGACUUGAGGAAGGUAGGGGAGAAUGGAAUUCCUGGUAGAGCGGUGGAAUGCGCAGAUAUCAGGAGGAACACCAGUGGCGAAGGCGGUUCUCUGGGCCUUUCCUGACGCUGAGGAGCGAAAGCGUGGGGAGCGAACAGGCUUAGAUACCCUGGUAGUCCACGCUGUAAACGGUGGGUACUAGGUGUGGGGUCCAUUCCACGGGUUCCGUGCCGUAGCUAACGCUUUAAGUACCCCGCCUGGGGAGUACGGCCGCAAGGCUAAAACUCAAAGGAAUUGACGGGGCCCCGCACAAGCGGCGGAGCAUGCGGAUUAAUUCGAUGCAACGCGUAGAACCUUACCUGGGUUUGACAUGGAUCGGGAGUGCUCAGAGAUGGGUGUGCCUCUUUUGGGGUCGGUUCACAGGUGGUGCAUGGCUGUCGUCAGCUCGUGUCGUGAGAUGUUGGGUUAAGUCCCGCAACGAGCGCAACCCUUGUUCACUGUUGCCAGCACGUUAUGGUGGGGACUCAGUGGAGACCGCCGGGGUCAACUCGGAGGAAGGUGGGGAUGACGUCAAGUCAUCAUGCCCCUUAUGUCCAGGGCUUCACGCAUGCUACAAUGGCUGGUACAGAGAGUGGCGAGCCUGUGAGGGUGAGCGAAUCUCGGAAAGCCGGUCUCAGUUCGGAUUGGGGUCUGCAACUCGACCUCAUGAAGUCGGAGUCGCUAGUAAUCGCAGAUCAGCAACGCUGCGGUGAAUACGUUCCCGGG